rnacentral:rRNA from 1 species
CGCAUCUGUGCAUGCAGCAUAUCAAUAAGCGGAGGAAAAGUACCUACGCUUAGGAUGUUGAGGAUGUAGCACAUCAUACACGCAUGACACACUGCAUAUCAAUAAGCGGAGGAAAAGAAACUAACAAGGAUUCCCCUAGUAACGGCGAGUGAAGCGGGAAGAGCUCAAAUUUGAAAUCUUAAAGGGUUUCCCUUUACGAAUUGUAGUUUAAAGAAGUGUUUUCUGUUGAGGUUUUGGUAAAAGUUCUUUGGAAUAGGACAUCAUAGAGGGUGAGAAUCCCGUAUUUGACCUUUACUUUCAACUUCGUGAUACACUUUCAAAGAGUCGGAUUGUUUGGGAAUGCAGUCCAAAAUGGGUGGUAAAUUUCAUCUAAAGCUAAAUAUUGGCGAGAGACCGAUAGCGAACAAGUACCGUGAGGGAAAGAUGAAAAGAACUUUGAAAAGAGAGUUAAACAGUACGUGAAAUUGUCAAAAGGGAAGCGUUUGACACCAGUGUUGUUUUUCUGAAAAUCAAUUAAAGAACUGUUUAUGCUAAGUUGUUUAGACCUUUAUCAGCUAUCUGCUUAGUUUUGAGCUUUUCUUUAAUGCACUUUUCAGUUAACAAGUCAACAUCAAUUUCUUUUGCUGUAAAAAAGCUUGAGGAAGGUGGCUUGAGAUUCGUCUUAAGUGUUUAUAGCCUCUUGCCUAUGCAGUCGGAGAGAUUGAGGUCUGCAGCGUAGAUCCUUCGGGGCUAAAUGCAUUUGUGCUAAGUUAUAAGCAUUUUAUAGACAACUUGUUGACUAUGAUUUGUCUUGUAGCUUACUCGCUUAUGUUAUUUUACCUACGCUUAGGAUGUUGAAGAUGUAGCACAUCAU